GUUAUCGGAUUACUGGGCGUAAGCGCACGCAGGCGGUCUGUCAAGUCGGAUGUGAAAUCCCCGGGCUCAACCUGGGAACUGCAUUCGAAACUGGCAGGCUUGAGUCUCGUAGAGGGGGGUAGAAUUCCAGGUGUAGCGGUGAAAUGCGUAGAGAUCUGGAGGAAUACCGGUGGCGAAGGCGGCCCCCUGGACGAAGACUGACGCUCAGGUGCGAAAGCGUGGGGAGCAAACAGGAUUAGAUACCCUGGUAGUCCACGCCGUAAACGAUGUCUAUUUGGAGGUUGUUCCCUUGAGGAGUGGCUUCCGGAGCUAACGCGUUAAAUAGACCGCCUGGGGAGUACGGCCGCAAGGUUAAAACUCAAAUGAAUUGACGGGGGCCCGCACAAGCGGUGGAGCAUGUGGUUUAAUUCGAUGCAACGCGAAGAACCUUACCUGGUCUUGACAUCCACGGAAUUUGGCAGAGAUGCCUUAGUGCCUUCGGGAACCGUGAGACAGGGUGCUGCAUGGCUGUCGUCAGCUCGUGUUGUGAAAUGUUGGGUUAAGUCCCGCAACGAGCGCAACCCUUAUCCUUUGUUGCCAGCGGGUUAGGCCGGGAACUCAAAGGGAGACUGGCCAGUGAUAAACCUGGAGGAAGGUGGGGGAUGACGUCAAGUCCUCAUGGCCCCUUUACGACCAGGGGCUACACACGUGCUACAAUUGGCAUAUACCAAAGAGAA
rnacentral:rRNA from 1 species